rnacentral:rRNA from 1 species
UACGAAGGGGGCUAGCGUUGCUCGGAAUCACUGGGCGUAAAGCGCACGUAGGCGGGCUCUUAAGUCGGUGGUGAAAUCCUGGAGCUCAACUCCAGAACUGCCUCCGAUACUGAGAGUCUUCGAGUCCGGGAGAGGUGAGUGGAACUGCGAGUGUAGAGGUGAAAUUCGUAGAUAUUCGCAAGAACACCAGUGGCGAAGGCGGCUCACUGGCCCGGUACUGACGCUGAGGUGCGACAGCAUGGGGAGCAAACAGG